rnacentral:rRNA from 1 species
UGCAAGUCGAACGGGCACUUCGGUGCUAGUGGCAGACGGGUGAGUAACGCGUGGGAACGUGCCUUUCGGUUCGGAAUAAUCCAGGGAAACUUGGACUAAUACCGGAUACGCCCUUCGGGGGAAAGAUUUAUCGCCGAAAGAUCGGCCCGCGUCUGAUUAGCUAGUUGGUGAGGUAAAGGCUCACCAAGGCGACGAUCAGUAGCUGGUCUGAGAGGAUGAUCAGCCACAUUGGGACUGAGACACGGCCCAAACUCCUACGGGAGGCAGCAGUGGGGAAUAUUGGACAAUGGGCGCAAGCCUGAUCCAGCCAUGCCGCGUGAGUGAUGAAGGCCUUAGGGUUGUAAAGCUCUUUUGUCCGGGAAGAUAAUGACUGUACCGGAAGAAUAAGCCCCGGCUAACUUCGUGCCAGCAGCCGCGGUAAUACGAAGGGGGCUAGCGUUGCUCGGAAUCACUGGGCGUAAAGGGCGCGUAGGCGGACUUUUAAGUCGGAGGUGAAAGCCCAGGGCUCAACCCUGGAAUUGCCUUCGAUACUGGGAGUCUUGAGUUCGGAAGAGGUUGGUGGAACUGCGAGUGUAGAGGUGAAAUUCGUAGAUAUUCGCAAGAACACCGGUGGCGAAGGCGGCCAACUGGUCCGAAACUGACGCUGAGGCGCGAAAGCGUGGGGAGCAAACAGG